UCUGUCUUCACCACAUUGCGUUAAACAAUCUCCACAACCGCCGUCUUCACUCGUUGCCUCACUCCCCGUCUCCGCUCGCCGCACGUCGCUCUUUCCUUCGCCGUCCAACGCCGCUGCCCACCGACGCCGUCCAGCACCGCUUCCCUGGGUCGCUGUCCAUCUCCAUCGCCUCCGGCCCCGUCUCCGUCGAUCUUUCGCCGUCCAGGGUUUGAUGCCAUCACCAGAGGAGGAAAUCAGGCGGAGAAAUGCCAUUCACAAGCUAAAAAAAAGAUAGUAAUGGAAUGGAUUAAGAGGUAGCUUAUCGACACCAACUCCCUAAAAUAUACCUCAGAAGUGCUUCUGCUACAAUAUUGACAUACGGAUCGUAUGGUCUUGGGGUUUCAUAAUUCAGUCAGACAUUGAUGAAUUGUGUGUUGUCCCUUGCUUUGCUAAUAUGGUGGAAGAUGCUUUCGUUGUUUUGUACAACAUACUUGCAAGCAGACCUGAAAUAUCAGAGAUUUAAUGUGUCAAGGAUGCAAAAGUUCCUUUAAUGCGUUUUAAAUUUGAUGGGAUUCCCGUUGAUCUUCCAUAUGCUCAACUUAAAGUGGUAUCCAUUCCAGAGAAUGUGCAUGUCUUCAACCCAUUCUUUAUGAGGAAUAUUGAUGAGAGCAAUUGGAAAAGUUUGUCCGGAAUACGUGCUAAUAGAAGUAUGGAUGCUUUUACCUGGAAACAUAAAUGGAUGCUUUUACCUGGAAACUUAAAUGGAUGCUUUCUGACACCAGUUCUGCUAAACAUAAAUGGAUGCUUUUUGACACCAGUUCUGUUUGGUAGAGUCACUAUGGCUUGGCUGAUAACUGUAAAAGAGAGGAAUUUGCAGAAAGAUCACCUGUUCCAUAAUUUCAGCAAUUUGUGUAUAAUAUGCUUAAUAGUAUUUGGAAUAUAAAUUCAUUUGCCCAUUUUAUUUAACACAUCAAUCACAAUCUGGAUCAGUGGAUCCUUCAGUAAUAUGUUCAUGUUAAGAAUAACAUGAAUUAAUUCAUUUAAACCAAAA